CUCAGGUAGCACAGUUGUGCUAAGGUGCUCUGGAAGUUCACAACCACAACAUUGUGACCGCGCCCUAAGGGACAAGCAAAGCUUGUUGCUGUCUGUGAUGCAUAACAACGAACAUGCUGA